AAUAUUGGGACAUAUAAAAAAAAAAAAGACGACAACUCUGUUCCGCGGAGUAGCUGUUGACAUUAUACUUGGGCAGGAAAUUUGACUCUAGAGAACCUCUGGCAAGUCGCACAUCCCCGUGGCGGCGACUAUGCAUGCGGAUGUCAUCCAUAUCAACUUUCGAUGCCAGUUUCUGUGCCUACCAUGGUGACCACGGGUAACGGGGAAUCAGGAUUCCAUUCCAUACAGGGACCCUGAGAAACGGCUACCCCAUGCAAGGAAGGCGGCAGGCGCACAAAUGACCCACUCCUGACGCGGGAAAGUAGUGA